AGAGUUUGAUCAUGGCUCAGGACGAACGCUGGCGGCGCGCCUAAUACAUGCAAGUCGAGCGAGAACCAGGGCUUGCCCUGGGGAGAGCGGCGAACGGGUGCGUAUCACGUGAGCAACCUGCCUCAGAGACCGGGAUAACUCGAGGAAACUCGGGCUAAUACCGGAUGCCCUCGGUGGACCGCAUGGUCCGGCGAGGAAAUGGAUUCCGCUCUGAGAUGGGCUCGCGGCCUAUCAGCUUGUUGGUGGGGUAACGGCCUACCAAGGCAACGACGGGUAGCUGGUCUGAGAGGACGAUCAGCCACACUGGGACUGAGACACGGCCCAGACUCCUACGGGAGGCAGCAGUAGGGAAUCUUGCGCAAUGGGGGAAACCCUGACGCAGCGACGCCGCGUGCGGGGUGAAGGCCUUCGGGUCGUAAACCGCUUUCAGCAGGGACGAAAUUGACGGUACCUGCAGAAGAAGGCCCGGCCAACUACGUGCCAGCAGCCGCGGUGAUACGUAGGGGUCUAGCGUUGUCCGGAAUCAUUGGGCGUAAAGAGCUCGUAGGCGGUUCGAUUAGUCGGGUGUGAAAUCUCCACGCUCAACGUGGAGGGGCCACUCGAUACUGUCGUGACUCGAGUCCGGUAGGGGAGUUCGGAAUUCCCGGUGUAGCGGUGAAAUGCGCAGAUAUCGGGAGGAACACCAGUGGCGAAGGCGGAACUCUGGGCCGGAACUGACGCUGAGGAGCGAAAGCGUGGGGAGCGAACAGGAUUAGAUACCCUAGUAGUCC
rnacentral:rRNA from 1 species